AUGAAGACCUGUAUGAAUGGCAUAACGAGGGCUUAACUGUCUCCUUUUUCCAGUCAAUGAAAUUGAUCUCUCCGUGCAGAAGCGGAGAUAAUCCCAUAAGACGAGAAGACCCUAUGGAGCUUCAGACAACAUAAUGGACCAUGUUAACAAACCUUACACAACAAGAAUAAACCAAUUGGGACCCAUUUCAAUGUC
rnacentral:rRNA from 1 species